rnacentral:rRNA from 1 species
GGGCUCGCACAAGCGGUGGAACAUGAGGUUUAAUUCGACAGCAAGCGAAGAACCUUACCAGGGUUCACCCUAUCGGAACCCCGUAGAAAUAUGGGGGUGCUCGCAAGAGAGCCGAUAGGCCGGUGGUGCACGGUUGUCGUCAGCUCGUGCCGUGAGGUGUCCCGUUCAGUCGGUCAACGAGCGCAACCCUUGCUCCGUGUUACUUCGGUGUCACGCCGAAGGUCUCACGGAGGACUGCCUCAUCCUAGAUGGGGAGGAAGGUGGGGACGACGUCAAAUCAGCGUGCCCCUUACGCCCUGGGCUACACUCGUGUUACAAUGGUCAGCAACAACGGGUUGCGAACCCGCGAGGGCUAGCUAAUCCCUGAAAUCUGACCCAAGUUCGGAUUGCAGGCUGCAACUCGCCUGCAUGAAGCCGGAAUCGCUAGUAACCGUGGAUCAGCACGCCACGGUGAAUACGUUCUCGAGCCUU